UUUCCGUAGGUGAACCUGCGGAAGGAUCAUUAUCGUACAAAAUGUGAGGGGCAUGCGAGGGCUGUCGCUGACCCAAAAGUCAUGCACGCCCGAGUGUGUCCUCUUGCAUAAUACUCCAUCUCACCCUUUGUGCAUCACCGCGUGGGCACCCUUCGGGAUCAUCUCGGUGGGGGGCUCGCGUUUUCACACAAACCCCCCUUUUAAAAGUGUAGAAUGACCACAUUUAUGCAAUCAAUACAACUUUCAACAACGGAUCUCUUGGCUCUC
rnacentral:misc_RNA from 1 species